ACUCCUACGGGAGGCAGCAGUGGGAAUAUUGCACAAUGGGAACCGUACAUGCAGCCAUGCCGCGUGUGUGAAGAAGGCCUUCGGGUUGUAAAGCACUUUCAGUAGGGAGGAAGGUAGUGUAGUUAACACCUGCAUUAUUUGACGUUACCUACAGAAGAAGCACCGGCUAACUCCGUGCCAGCAGCCGCGGUAAUACGGAGGGUGCGAGCGUUAAUCGGAAUUACUGGGCGUAAAGCGCAUGCAGGCGGCCUGUUAAGUCAGAUGUGAAAGCCGGGCU
rnacentral:rRNA from 1 species